AUUGAACGCUGGCGGCAGGCCUAACACAUGCAAGUCGAGCGGAUGAAGGGAGCUUGCUCCUGGCUUCAGAGGCGGACGGGUGAGUAAUGCCUAGGAAACUGCCUGGUAGCGGGGGAUAACGUCCGGAAACGGGCGCUAAUACCGCAUACGUACUGAGGGAGACAGUGGGGGAUCUUCGGACCUCAUGCUACCAGAUGAGCCUAGGUCGGAUUAGCUCGUUGGUGGGGUAAAGGCGUACCAAGGCGACGAUCCGUAACUGGUGUGAGAGGAUGAUCAGUCACACGGGAGCUGAGACACGGUCCAGGCUACUACGGGAGGCAGCAGAGGGGAAUAUUGGACAGUGGGCGGAAGCCUGAUCCAACCAGGCCGCGUGUGUGGAGAAGGUCUUCGGAGUGUAAAGCACUUUAAGUUGGGAGGAAGCGCAGUAACUUAAUACCUUGCUGUAUUGACGUUACCAACAGAAUAAGCACCGGCUAACUUCGUG
rnacentral:rRNA from 1 species